GGGUUGAACUGAGUGGGAGAAAACGAUGGAAAGUGCAGGAGACUCCAAAGGUUCUGUACACCCAUGCACUUGCCAGAGUUUUCUACCAUUCAGUCUAACUC